rnacentral:rRNA from 1 species
UACGGAGGAUGCAAGCGUUAUCCGGAAUGCUUGGGCGUAAAGCGUCCGCAGGUGGCAAUGUAAGUCUGCUGUUAAAGAGUCUAGCUCAACUAGAUACAAGCAGUGGAAACUACAUAGCUAGAGUACGUUCGGGGCAGAGGGAAUUCCUGGUGUAGCGGUGAAAUGCGUAGAGAUCAGGAAGAACACCGGUGGCGAAGGCGCUCUGCUAGGCCGUAACUGACACUGAGGGACGAAAGCUAGGGGAGCGAAUGGG